rnacentral:rRNA from 1 species
CAAAGGAAGCGAUUCCGGCGGGGGAUGGGCAUGCGGCGCAUUAGCUAGUCGGCGGGGUAACGGCCCACCGAGGCGACGAUGCGUAGGGGUUCUGAGAGGAAGGUCCCCCACACUGGUACUGAGACACGGACCAGACUCCUACGGGAGGCAGCAGUGAGGAAUACUGGUCAAUGGGCGGGAGCCUGAACCAGCCAAGUCGCGUGAGGGAAGACGGUCCUACGGAUUGUAAACCUCUUUUGCCGGGGAGCAACGGGGUCCUUGCGAGGGCCCAAUGAGAGUACCCGGAGAAAAAGCAUCGGCUAACUCCGUGCCAGCAGCCGCGGUAAUACGGAGGAUGCGAGCGUUAUCCGGAUUUAUUGGGUUUAAAGGGUGCGUAGGCGGGCUGUUAAGUCAGCGGUCAAAUGUCGGGGCUCAACCCCGGCCUGCCGUUGAAACUGGUGGCCUCGAGUGGGCGAGAAGUAUGCGAAAUGCGUGGUGUAGCGGUGAAAUGCAUAGAUAUCACGCAGAACUCCGAUUGCGAAGGCAGCAUACCGGCGCCCGACUGACGCUGAGGCACGAAAGCGUGGGUAUCGAACAGGAUUAGAUACCCUGGUAGUCCACGCAGUAAACGAUGAAUGCUAGCUGUCCGG